AGAGAUCAUGGCUCAGGAUGAACGCUAGCGGCAGGCCUAAUACAUGCAAGUCGAACGGGGUUGAGUAGCAAUACUCAAUUCAGUGGCGCACGGGUGCGUAACGCGUAUGCAACCUACCUUAAACUGGGGGAUAGCCUUCCGAAAGGGAGAUUAAUACCGCAUAAGAUCACACGAGGGCAUCUGAGAGUGAUUAAAGAUUUAUUGGUUUAAGAUGGGCAUGCGUGCCAUUAGCUAGUUGGUAGGGUAACGGCCUACCAAGGCUACGAUGGCUAGGGGUUCUGAGAGGAUGAUCCCCCACACUGGUACUGAGAUACGGACCAGACUCCUACGGGAGGCAGCAGUAGGGAAUAUUGGGCAAUGGACGCAAGUCUGACCCAGCCAUGCCGCGUGCAGGAUGAAGGCCUUCUGGGUUGUAAACUGCUUUUAUCUAGGAAGAAAACGCCCAUGCGUGGGAAACUGACGGUACUAGAUGAAUAAGCACCGGCUAACUCCGUGCCAGCAGCCGCGGUAAUACGGAGGGUGCAAGCGUUGUCCGGAUUUAUUGGGUUUAAAGGGUGCGUAGGCGGCCCGGUAAGUCAGUGGUGAAAGCCUCCAGCUCAACUGGAGAACUGCCAUUGAUACUGCCGGGCUUGGGUACAGACGAGGUUGGCGGAAUUGAUUGUGUAGCGGUGAAAUGCAUAGAUACAAUCAAGAACUCCGAUUGCGUAGGCAGCUAACUAGGCUGUAACUGACGCUGAGGCACGAAAGCGUGGGGAGCGAACAGGAUUAGAUACCCUGGUAGUCCACGCUGUAAACGAUGAUUACUCGAUGUUGGCGAUAAACUGUCAGCGUCUUAGCGAAAGCGUUAAGUAAUCCACCUGGGGAGUACGCCCGCAAGGGUGAAACUCAAAGGAAUUGACGGGGGCCCGCACAAGCGGUG
rnacentral:rRNA from 1 species